UGGAUGUACUCUAAGACUCAAGACUGCUUGAAGUACUUACAGGACUUGUUAGCCUUGAGGAAAAAAUAUCUUGACAACAUCAAUAAGUUGAAAUCUAUGCAUAUGACUGCAGAUUCCCCAACAUCCACAAAAUCAUCCAAAACUGGAAAGAAGUCAUUUCUUCCGCUUUCCUCCAAAGAGUUUUCUAAGACAUCCAUGGAGAGAAGAAAAGUCCCACAGCCCAAUUCAGAUGUAAGAGAAGCGAUAGCGUUCUUUGACUCGGUUAUUGCAGAUCUGGAUUCAGAGAGAUGCCGGAGAGCUCCUGACAUGGACCUGCCAAAUGCAGAUGUUGAUUUUGAUGGUGAAGUAUAAAACAGAAAAAAUAUGAUUACUUUUGUUGUGCAAUGAGUAGAGGGAAGAGUGGACAUGUAAGACCAAAUUUACUUAAAUG
rnacentral:lncRNA from 1 species